rnacentral:rRNA from 1 species
UACGGAGGGGGCGAGCGUUGUCCGAAGUUACUGGGCGUAAAGCGCGCGUAGGCGGGUUGGUAAGUCCGCUGUGAAAGCCCGGAGCUUAACUCCGGAGGGUCGGUGGAUACUGCCAGUCUUGAAGGUGCUAGGGGGAGAUGGAAUUACCGGUGUAGCGGUGAAAUGCGUAGAUAUCGGUAGGAACACCAGUGGCGAAGGCGGUCUCCUGGGGCAUUCUUGACGCUGAGGCGCGAAAGCUAGGGGAGCAAACAGG